GGGGUGACAGAUGUCUCAGCCAGAAUCCUCCUUCACCGCUCCAUGUGCGUCUCUCCCGAAGCUGUGCUCUCAGUGGAAGAGGACGACCAUCCCAGAUAGAGGGAGUGUACCGAUCUUCGCUCAAGGGUAUACGAUAGCUGUGCUCCCCUGCUAGAACCUCCAAACAAGCUCAAGGGGUACUUGAGUUAUUGUAAGAAUAAUAAAGAUAGUAAAUAAAUAAAUAAGUAAGUAAGUAAAUAAGUAAGUAAAUAAAUAAAUAAAUACUUUCCAU
rnacentral:snRNA from 1 species